rnacentral:rRNA from 1 species
UACGAAGGGGGCUAGCGUUGCUCGGAAUCACUGGGCGUAAAGGGCGCGUAGGCGGCGUUUUUAAGUCGGGGGUGAAAGCCUGUGGCUCAACCACAGAAUUGCCUUCGAUACUGGGACGCUUGAGUAUGGUAGAGGUUGGUGGAACUGCGAGUGUAGAGGUGAAAUUCGUAGAUAUUCGCAAGAACACCGGUGGCGAAGGCGGCAACUGGACCUUACUGACGCUGAGGCGCGAAAGCGUGGGGGAGCAAACAGG